rnacentral:rRNA from 1 species
UACGGGGGGUGCAAGCGUUGUUCGGAUUUACUGGGCGUAAAGGGCGCGUAGGCGGCCACCGCAAGUCGACUGUGAAAUCUCCGGGCUUAACCCGGAAAGGUCAGCCGAUACUGCGGGGCUAGAGUGCAGAAGGGGCAACUGGAAUUCUCGGUGUAGCGGUGAAAUGCGUAGAUAUCGAGAGGAACACCUGCGGCGAAGGCGGGUUGCUGGGCUGACACUGACGCUGAGGCGCGAAAGCUAGGGGAGCGAACGGG